rnacentral:lncRNA from 1 species
CGAGUUUACUCUUAUCUCUAGGGUGGAUUCCUUAGAGUGGCGAGUGUUAAUCCAAUUCUCCAUUUACUUGUUGUUUCCGGUAUCAAUUUGGUAUCAGAGCCAUGCCUCCACGUCGAAGGAAUGUGCGUGAUAUUGAGUUGGAAGAGUUAAGAAGACAGGUAGAGCAACUACAGGAGCAACUUGCCCAGAGAGAAGGAAGAAGGCAUAACGCA